rnacentral:rRNA from 1 species
CCGGUACCUUGGGAAUAAGCAUCGGCUAACUCCGUGCCAGCAGCCGCGGUAAUACGGAGGAUGCAAGCGUUAUCCGGAUUCAGUUGGGUUUAAAGGGUGCGUAGGCGGAUUAAUAAGUCAGUGGUGAAAUCUUGCGGCUCAACCGUAACAUUGCCAUUGAUACUGUUAGUCUUGAAUGCAGUUGAGGUAGGCGGAAUGUGUAAUGUAGCGGUGAAAUGCUUAGAUAUUACACAGAACACCGAUUGCGAAGGCAGCUUGCUAAACUGUGAUUGACGCUGAUGCACGAAAGCGUGGGGAUCAAACAGGAUUAGAUACCCUGGUAGUCCACGCUGUAAACGAUGAUUACUCGUUGUUUGCGAUAUAUUGCAAGCGACUGAGCGAAAGCAUUAAGUAAUCCACCUGGGGAGUACGUUCGCAAGAAUGAAACUCAAAGGAAUUGACGGGGGCCCGCACAAGCG